AGACGGAGGGUGCAAGCGUUGUUCGGAUUUACUGGGCGUAAAGGGCGUGUAGGCGGAUUUGCAAGCCGGGGGUGAAAGGCCUGGGCUCAACCCAGGACGGUCUUCCGGAACUGCAUCUCUUGAGAGAGUCAGAGGCAGGUGGAAUUCCAGGUGUAGAGGUGAAAUUCGUAGAUAUCUGGAGGAACACCGGCGGCGAAGGCGGCCUGCUGGGGCUCUUCUGACGCUGAGGCGCGAAAGCGUGGGUAGCAAACAGGAUUAGAAACCCCAGUAGUCC
rnacentral:rRNA from 1 species